UACGUAGGGGGCGAGCGUUGUCCGGAUUUAUUGGGCGUAAAGAGCGUGUAGGCGGCCAGGUAGGUCUGCUGUGAAAACUCGAGGCUCAACCUCGAGACGUCGGCGGAAACCAUCUGGCUAGAGUCCGGAAGAGGAGAGUGGAAUUCCUGGUGUAGCGGUGAAAUGCGCAGAUAUCAGGAAGAACACCCGGUGGCGAAGGCGGCUCUCUGGGACGGUACUGACGCUGAGACGCGGAAAGCGUGGGGAGCGAACAGG
rnacentral:rRNA from 1 species